rnacentral:rRNA from 1 species
UACGUAGGGUGCAAGCGUUGUCCGGAAUUAUUGGGCGUAAAGAGCGCGUAGGCGGCCCUGUAAGUCCGCUGUGAAAGUCAAGGGCUCAACCCUUGGAUGCCGGUGGAUACUGCAGGGCUAGAGUCCGGAAGAGGCGAGUGGAAUUCCUGGUGUAGCGGUGAAAUGCGCAGAUAUCAGGAGGAACACCGAUGGCGAAGGCAGCUCGCUGGGACGGUACUGACGCUGAGGCGCGAAAGCGUGGGGAGCAAACAGG